CAAUUCCAUCUUUGCAAUCAAACGGACCCGUAGUGUUCUUCAUCUAUUGUUAAACGUGAAACGGUCCAUAUGAUGGUUUCCACUUUCUCUGUCUUUGGCCUAAAAAGUAGGGACACAUACUAAAAAGGUUAAACCCUAACAUUAAGGGUCCCCCACCACCCCUGCCCUGGAGCAUCGUGAGGGAGAUAAAUCGCAGGUUAUGCCUCCAAGGGUACAGGGUGGAAGGCUGCUUGUACACUUGCACUUACCCAAGAGCCAAAUCCAUAUUUCAGGAUUCGAUCCCUUGACGCAGCAGCCUCAAACAAAGCUGGAUUUCUCCACCCUCCCCUUUUACCACUUGGAGAUGUGCCCUGAGGGCAAGUAGGGACCCAUACUUUUUCUUGAUUGGUUGAGUCUACGGCUUCCUAAUAAUACGGAUUAGCAGUAUGCAUACUUUGCAUGAUAUUAAGGAUGACAGUGAGCAUGAUAUUCAAAUAGCGAAUUGCUAUGCUCUUAAUUAUAUUACUGUUAUUUGAAAUCUAGUUUCUACUUUCAACAAUGUAUUUUGAAUCACCAGAUUGGUAGAUAAUAAUUUUGAAAUUCACUGUGAUUGUAAUGUUUACACUAUUGUUUCUAAUAAUAGUGAUGUUUGGUAUAAAAAUUUAGGAUAUCCCAAAGGAAAUGGAGAUCAGACGAUGGAAGAGUCACUUCUGUUCUUUUGACACACCUAAUAAAACAUGUGGGGUGUGAGCCCCAUCCUUUCCCAUGCUCGAUAUAAGUAUUUUGUUACAUUUAUUGAUUACUGUAGCACUUCACUUGGGUAUAUUUCCCCAAAAUCUCCUCUUUUUUUUCCUUUGUGUGCCCUUAUUCUUAACCUCCAAAUGAAAGAAGAAUGAACAGAAAAGAGAAGGGAACGAAAAAUUAAGAGGAUGAUACUCUAGAAUGACUGAAUUUUGCCUUAAAAAUAACCUAAAAUCGUGUCCAAAGAUUUGCAUUUAAACCCCUGAUUUUUCUGAAAAGCUGAAAACGGUACUAGAAUUUGCUGAAGUUCUGUAAAGAAAUCAGGAACAUGACGCCAUGGCCAAUUUCUUCUCUAUUUGCCGCUUAGGUUCCCAAGUAAUUGCGCAUCAAUCCCUCAACUAUAAUCUUGUACAAUUGGGUCCUCAGAUUUUGUCUUUUCAUUUCAAUCAAGCCCUUCAUAAAUUGCAACCCAUUUUCCUUCAGCUUCAUAACUUGUGCAUUUUGGUCCCUAACUUCCUACUUUUGUACUUUUUUGGUCCCUUUUCACUUUCUUUUGCCUUUUUCUAUUUACUUGAAUGAUU
rnacentral:lncRNA from 1 species